GCCUGGGUGGCUCAGUCGGUUAAGCGUCCGACUUCAGCUCAGGUCAUGAUCUCACAGUUCGUGGGUUCAAGACCCACAUCGGGCU
rnacentral:tRNA from 1 species